rnacentral:rRNA from 1 species
AUACAAUCUACCUUAACAGGGGGAUAGUCCUUUCGAAAGAGAGAUUAAUACCCCGUAAUAAAUUGAACGGCAUCGUUUGAUUUUGAAAGCUCCGGCGGUUUGAGAUGAGUAUGCGUCUGAUUAGCUAGUUGGUGAGGUAACGGCUCACCAAGGCGACGAUCAGUAGGGGACCUGAGAGGAUAACCCCCCACACUGGUACUGAGACACGGACCAGACUCCUACGGGAGGCAGCAGUAAGGAAUAUUGGUCAAUGGAGGCAACUCUGAACCAGCCAUGCCGCGUGCAGGAUGACGGCCCUAUGGGUUGUAAACUGCUUUUAUACAAGAGAAAAAACCCUGGUACGUGUACCAAGUUGAUAGUAUUGUAAGAAUAAGCAUCGGCUAACUUCGUG